rnacentral:rRNA from 1 species
CGGUAAUUCCAGCUCUGCAAAUACAUAGAAUUAUUGCUGCGGUUAGAAAGCUCAUAGUUGGAUUCGUAUCGAUACCUUGGAACCCUUCGGGUGUCUCUAGGUGUUAUCGAUUUAUCGUAAUGUUCGGUUUUGAGUCCUUAACAGGAUUCUUAACAGGCAUUGCAAGUUUACUUUGAACAAAUCAGAGUGCUUCAAACAGGCGUUUUCGCUUGAAUGAUCGUGCAUGGAAUAAUAGAAAAUGAUUUCGGUUCAGUUUUAUUGGUUUUACGGACUGAGAUAAUGGUUAACAGAGACAAACGGGGGCAUUUGUAUGGUCCCGUGAGAGGUGAAAUUCUUGGACCGUGGCCAGACAAACUACAGCGAAAGCAUUUGCCAAGAAUGUUUUUAUUAAUCAAGAACGAAAGUCAGAGGUUCGAAGGCGAUCAGAUACCGCCCUAGUUCUGACCGUAAACGAUGCCAACUAGCGAUCCGCCGAUGGAAAUUAUAUUGCCUUGGUGGGGAGCUUCCCGGAAACGAAAGUCUUCCGGUUCCGGGGGAAGUAUGGUUGCAAAGCUGAAACUUAAAGGAAUUGACGGAAGGGCACCACCAGGAGUGGAGCCUGCGGCUUAAUUUGACUCAACACGGGGAAACUCACCCGGCCCGGACACUGUGAGGAUUGACAGAUUGAUAGCUUUUUCAUGAUUCAGUGGAUGGUGGUGCAUGGCCGUUCUUAGUUCGUGGAGUGAUUUGUCUGGUUUAUUCCGAUAACGAGCGAGACUCUAACCUACUAAAUAGUUGGUACAUACUCUUAGUGUAUACAGCUUCUUAGAGGGAUUUGCGGCGUUCAGCCGAAAGAAAUUGAGCAAUAACAGGUCUGUGAUGCCCUUAGAUGUCCGGGGCUGCACGCGCGCUACACUGGCAAAAUCAACGUGCUUGUCCUACCCUGAAAGGGGCGGGUAAACCAUUGAAAAUUUGCCGUGAUUGGGAUCGGAAAUUGCAAUUAUUUUCCGUGAACGAGGAAUUCCAAGUAAGUGCGAGUCAUCAGCUCGCGUUGAUUACGUCCCUGCCCUUUGUACACACCGCCCGUCGCUGCCCGGGACUGAGCCAUUUCGAGAAAUUUGGGGACCGUUGAUUUAAUUUUUCUAAAUUACUUUGAUGGAAACCAAUUUAAUCGCAGUGGCUUGAACCGGGCA